GUGCUUGCUUCGGCAGUACAUAUAGUAAAAUUGGAAUGAUACAGAGAAGAUUAGCAUGGCCCCUGCACAAGGAUGACACGCAAAUUCAUGAAGCGUUCCAUAUUUUU
rnacentral:snRNA from 1 species